rnacentral:lncRNA from 1 species
UAUCCAGGAGCGCGUCCCGGAGCCAAAGGCGCGCGGCCGUGGGAGAGGCUCCCUGCAGGAGGCCACACGGCAGCCUAGGAGCAAGGGUGGCAAGGGGCGGACCACCCCUUCGCGCGCGCACUGCGGCCCCAGCUGCGCGGUAAACGAGAAAAAGCCUGGGACGACCAGAGAGUUGUCAUUGGUCAGCGUCGCCCUUCGGCUCCUCCUCCCUGGUCUCAUCUCGUGAGAUCUCGCGAUGAAGCCUCUGAUGCCGAGAACCCACCUAAAGCGAAGCUAAAGGCUUGGUAGGUGCGGGCUCCGCUGGGUUGGCCAGUUUGGGCAGCCAGUGAAGCUUUGCCUACUUCCGGGCUUCUUCAGCGCGCUGCCGCUGGUACUGUCUGCAGCUCGGAAAUCUCAUUUCUUCCUGUUUUUUGGCUAUGUAACUGGCAAAUAUAUAACACCUAAGGCCGUAAAAUUAUAACCACAAAGCCUUUUGUGAUACAUCCACUUGGGUUUUUUUCAGGUGUCAUUAUUAGUGGAAUAUUAAAAAAAACUUUAUUAUCUGGUUCCAAGACUGAGCGUAGCCGUAGUCAUGUCUUCUGACCAGAGAAGUCUGAACCCACGAUUUGCGCAUGUGCAAUUCUGGACGUUAGCAAAUGCUUCACUCUUCGCGCAGGCGCACACAGUAUGCGGCAGCCUCUUGGGCAGUGCAGGCCUGGGACGCAGGCGCAGACCUUAAGCGCCGUCCCCGUGGGCGGUGCUGGCUUGGAGCGCAAGCGCAGACCUUACUAGGCGCCCCCAUGGGCGGUGCUGGCUUGGUACGCUAGCGCAGAUCUUACGGGGAGUCUUAGUGGGCGGUGCUGGCGUGAGGUACAGGAAGUUUUGGGACCCCCAGACUGGGUUCAUUUGUGUGGUGCUCAGGUCGUCGGUGGUCUUUUCUCCCUGUGCUUUUUUGGGUUCGCGUCUUGUGACCCACUUGUGGGUUUGUGUGACGCAGACGAGGGUACUCUGCUCCACUCUCUGCUGAUGGAACAGCACAGUCUUUGCAGAAGGCGAAGUACAGCUUCAGACACAGCGUCAGAAAACUCUUAUAGGAAAAACUUCAGUUAUGUUGCUUUCAGUUUACUGCCUGUUAAAUUUUUGCUUAAUAGAUCAUGAUCUUUGUGAAUUAAAUGAAUGCCCCUUGGAUCCUGGUGGCUACUUCAUUACUAAUGGAUCAGAAGGUAUAAUAGCAUUAUUAUUGUUUAAAUUACAAAAUUAAAUAAUUAAGAUUUAAAUUGUGAAAGUUAAAAAUAAAAAGUAAGGGAGUUCCCA